rnacentral:hammerhead_ribozyme from 1 species
AUCCAUCUGAAGAGUCUUAAAUAAGAUGGAACUCGCGUCUUGGAU